rnacentral:rRNA from 1 species
GCUCAGGAUGAACGCUGGCGGCGUGCUUAACACAUGCAAGUCGAACGAAAAGACGGAAAGAGCUUGCUCUUUUCAGAAUUGAGUGGCAAACGGGUGAGUAACACGUAAACAACCUGCCUUCAGGAUGGGGACAACAGACGGAAACGACUGCUAAUACCGAAUAAGUUCCAAGAGCCGCAUGGCCCAUGGAAGAAAAGGUGGCCUCUACCUGUAAGCUAUCGCCUGAAGAGGGGUUUGCGUCUGAUUAGCUGGUUGGAGGGGUAACGGCCCACCAAGGCGACGAUCAGUAGCCGGUCUGAGAGGAUGAACGGCCACACUGGAACUGAGACACGGUCCAGACUCCUACGGGAGGCAGCAGUA